UGGGCUAUCGCCAAGCGGUAAGGCAACGGACUCUGACUCCGUCACUCCGAAGGUUCGAAUCCUUCUAGCCCAGCUA
rnacentral:tRNA from 1 species